rnacentral:lncRNA from 1 species
GGAGAUGGAGAAGAAACAGAGUCAGAAGAAGAUACAGAAAUAGAUAAACCUGGGCGAAGCUUCAUAUAAACCUCCUCAUCAAAAUCACCAUGCAAGAAUGCAUUUUUAACAUCAAGUUGAAAAAGUUUCCAAUGCUUUUUAACAGCCACUGCAAUAUGACACUUCACAAUGGACAUUUUAACCACAGGAUAAAAAGUGUCAGUAAAAUCCACCCCUUUAACUUGAGUAUCCCCUCUAAUAACAAGUCUGGCUUUGUGUCUUUCAACACUACCAUCAGCCUUAUACUUGAUCUUAUAAACCCAUUUGCAGCCAAUGGGUUUCUUACCACAAGGAAGAGGAACAAUGUCCCAAGUGCAGUUAGCAUCCAAAGCAUCAAACUCCUUUCUCAUGGCAUCCUGCCAUACUGGAACUGAUGAAGCUUGAGAGUAGUAAAGGGUUUCAGUCUCCAGAGGAGAAGAACAAGACCCAAAGAAAGCAGGAAGGUUACAAACAUAAUCCUUAAGAUAGGAAGGAGGAUUGUGUUGUCUGCCAGAUUUCCUGGGAACAUCAGUUGAUGGGGAAGAAGGUAAAGCAGGAGGGGAGAUGCCAGGGUUGAAAGGAGGAUUGGAAAUAGGAUUUGAAGAAGGAGAAUCUGGAACAGGAGGUGGAGGUGGAGAGGAAGAGAUUGGAACAGAGAAGUCUAGGUCAGAAGAGGAAUGUUCAGGAGGAGGAAUAGAAUGAAAAGAGGAAGGGAAAGCAUGAGGAACAGAGGUGACAGAAGAGGCAGAUCUGAAAGGGAAAGAAGUCUCAUGAAAGACAACAUCCCUGGACACAAAACACUUUUUGGAACUAAGAUCAUAUAGUUUAUAUCCCUUUUUAGCAAAAGGAUACCCUAGGAAAACACAAAAAUGGCCCUAGGCUUUAACUUGUCCCUUUGAGGAAUAGGGACAGUACUAGCAAAAGGAUACCCUAGGAAAACACAAGAAAUGGCCCUAGGCUUUAACUUGUCCCUUUGAAGAAUGGGGACAGUAGCAUAGGCAAGGUAGCCAAAAGCCUUUAAAUGAGAGUAAGUGGGUGCCUUACUAUGCAAGAUUUCAUAACGGGAUUUACCAUGAAGGAGCCUGGAGGGUAUUUUGUUAAUAAGAUGGGUAGCAGUUAAUAGACAAUCACCCCAGAAAGAAAUGGGUAAACCAGACUGGAAAAGCAAAGCUCUACAGGUUUCAAGAAGAGUUCUAUGUUUCCUCUCAACAACACCAUUCUGUUGGGGAGCCCCAGAAAGAAAUGGGUAAACCAGACUGGAAAAGUAAAGCUCUACAAGUUUCAAGAAGAGUUCUAUGUUUCCUCUUAACAACACCAUUCUGUUGGGGAGUAUGUGGGCAAGUGGUUUGGUGUAUGAUACCAUGUUGGUUAAAAAAGGAUGUACCAGCAAUGCUAGAUCCCAAUUCUAAAGCAUUGUCGCUCCUAACAGUUUGUACAUUUGCAUUGAAUUGGGUCUUGACCAUACAGAGAAAAGAUUGAAGCAUGCAGAAAGCAUUGCUUUUAUAUCCUAACAAAUGUGUCCAGGUUGCCCUAAAAAAAUAGACCAUUUUAGAUAUCUGAGAACAUGUAAAGCAGCAGUCAUAUGUGGGACUCUGGGACACUUCAAGUAUUAACUCAGAUGCUGAACAGCAAAGCAGAUGUCAGGCCUGGUGUAAGUCAUAAAUAAGAGCUUACCAACAAUGCUCUUAUAUUGAUCAGGAGAGGAAAGAAUGUCACUAAAAUCAGCAUGGAGUUUCACAUUAAGAUCCAAAGGACAAACAACAGGAGAAACAUUCAUACAGUCAAAC